rnacentral:rRNA from 1 species
UACGUAGGUGGCGAGCGUUAUCCGGAAUGAUUGGGCGUAAAGGGUGCGUAGGCGGCCUGCUAAGUCUGGAGUGAGAGGUACCGGCUCAACCGGUACAGGCUCUGGAAACUGGCGGGCUAGAGAGCAGGAGAGGGCGGUGGAACUCCAUGUGUAGCGGUAAAAUGCAUAGAUAUAUGGAGGAACACCGGUGGCGAAGGCGAUUCUCUGGACUGUAACUGACGCUGAGGCUCGAAAGCGUGGGGAGCAAACAGG